rnacentral:rRNA from 1 species
UACGUAGGGUGCGAGCGUUGUCCGGAAUUAUUGGGCGUAAAGAGCUUGUAGGCGGUUUGUCGCGUCUGCCGUGAAAAUCCGGGGCUCAACCCCGGACUUGCGGUGGGUACGGGCAGACUAGAGUGUGGUAGGGGAGACUGGAAUUCCUGGUGUAGCGGUGAAAUGCGCAGAUAUCAGGAGGAACACCGGUGGCGAAGGCGGGUCUCUGGGCCACUACUGACGCUGAGAAGCGAAAGCAUGGGGAGCGAACAGG